CCUCCCGUUCUCCACCCACUUCAGCUGUCGCCGCGCAGCAGCAGUUCUGUUCGGUUUCGCCUUCCUGCUGUGCAGUCUUUUGACGCUUGCUGUCCAACUUUGGAGUUUUCUUGCCUUUUUUUCUCUCAGAGUUGAGCCCCUGCCCGGGCCCUUUAGUCCCUCGGUCACGAGGAACGGUAGAGUUUAGAACCUGUGAGUACGUUAGAAAGUUCGCAGUCGAGGAAGAACAGGGUUCGGGCAAGGGCAGCUGGUCCGGUACCAAGGGAAAACAGGCUGGGAUGGUGAAGGCGUCAGUGGCUACAAGGCUGGAAGUUUAGCACCAGAAGGGAAUUUGGAGAUCAAUUCAACCGCCUCAUUUCAGGCAUACUUAAAUUGAAACCCAGAAAGAUGAGGUAAUUUGCAGAAGGUCACCCAGCAACCCCUGAGCAGGCAGGACUGCAACACAAAUGUCUGACGUGGGCUUCCACUGUGUAAUGCUAAGCAGAUAGGACGUAAAUUCCUUUGCAGACUUCUCAUUUUUCCUUACCCCCUGCCUCUCAUAUUACACACCUUCCCCAUUUAGCUUUUCUUCUUUUACUUUGCACUUGCUUUUGUACAUCUAAAAGGAAUUAAUUAUUCAACAGCAGUGGGAACCCUUGAAACAUAAUCUGGAAAAAAAGAUUAAUAAAGUUUUUUUUAUGUCGCGUAGUGAAAAGAGCAUGUGCUUUAGAGACAAACCUGGGCUCCAGCUAUUUACUUGUGAGAGCUUUAGGUCAAUUGGCUUUUAUUACAGCUUUUUAACCAUAAUAAAAUGGGGAUCCCUGCCUAGCAGAAGAUUGAUUAAAUGGAUCAUAAAUUGUCCAACUAGUGCCUAGCAAAUAGUACAUACUCAGUAUUUUCCCCUUUUUAAUCCCCGUUUUACAGGCGAUGGAACUCACCAGAGACCAGAUAGCUAGAGAAUGGCUGAGCUGGGUUUUAAAUCUAGUCAAUCUUGACCCCAGAGCUCUCCAGCCUAAAGGUUGCCUCAUUAUUCAAAAUGGCUGCCAAGACUCCAAGCAUCAUACAUCCCAUUUCACUCAAUAGAAAGGAAAAAGCACCCUUCUAUCAUAGAGGUCAUCAUCCACAUUCCACAGAUGAGAAAAGGAAGCUUGGAGAAGGAAGCUCCAGGCUGC
rnacentral:lncRNA from 1 species